rnacentral:rRNA from 1 species
GAUGAACGCUGGCGGCGUGCCUAACACAUGCAAGUCGAACGAUUCUCUUCGGAGAAGAGCGGCGGACGGGUGAGUAACGCGUGGGUAACCUGCCCUGUACACACGGAUAACAUACCGAAAGGUAUGCUAAUACGGGAUAACAUAUUUUAGUCGCAUGGCUGAAAUAUCAAAGCUCCGGCGGUACAGGAUGGACCCGCGUCUGAUUAGCUAGUUGGUGAGGUAAUGGCUCACCAAGGCGACGAUCAGUAGCCGACCUGAGAGGGUGAUCGGCCACACUGGAACUGAGACACGGUCCAGACUCCUACGGGAGGCAGCAGUGGGGAAUAUUGCACAAUGGGCGAAAGCCUGAUGCAGCAACGCCGCGUGAGCGAUGAAGGCCUUCGGGUCGUAAAGCUCUGUCCUCAAGGAAGAUAAUGACGGUACUUGAGGAGGAAGCCCCGGCUAACUACG